GGAUAGCUCAGUUGGUUAAGAGUGUGGUGCUGAUAACACCAAGAUUGCAGGUUUGAUCCCCGUAAGGGACAGCUCCA
rnacentral:tRNA from 1 species